GUUAAAAAGCAACAGAAUAAGCCUAAUGUCUUGAAAACAUUAUGAGAGAAGUUCAAUCCUUCUAUUAACUU
rnacentral:tRNA from 1 species